UGUUACCUACGGGGGCAGCAGUGGGGGAUAUUGCACAAUGGGGGGAACCCUGAUGCAGCGACGCCGCGUGGGUGAAGGAGUGCUUCGGCAUGUAAAGCCCUAUCGGCAGGGAAGAAGCAAGACGGUACCUGACUAAGAAGCCCCGGCUAACUACGUGCCAGCAGCCGCGGUAAUACGUAGGGGGCAAGCGUUAUCCGGAUUUACUGGGUGUAAAGGGAGCGCAGACGGCAGUGCAAGUCUGGAGUGAAAGCCCGGGGCCCAACCCCGGAACUGCUCUGGAAACUGUG
rnacentral:rRNA from 1 species